CAUGAGUACAUGAAUAUGGCAAGCAUGGUAGUUUAGGUUUAAUAAAAACAAAGGGACAAGUUAAUUAAAUUUUAUUUCAAUUAAGUAAUUGGAUAGGGGUUUUGCUCAGUGUAACAUGGCAAACAAGAUGAAUAAGAAAGUGAGGGAAAAAUGAAGAAACUCGCCAAAUCGGAGAUAGUCCGAUGAGUCGACUCCGACGAGGUAGAAAAAAUGGAAAUACAAGGAGUGACGCUUGAGCAUAGCAUGGCAUCAUAAAUUUGAAAUCUCGAAGGUUGCUGCAACUCAAGAUUGUGAUGACUUUUAGAACUUUUAGGCUUUUGUUUUGCAUCAAUGUAAUCUACAUAUUCUAAUAAUUUUAUUUGUCUAAACCUUUUGGUAGAAUUUUUUAGGAGGCAAAUUAAUAUAUUACCCAUAACUUAGUAUGAGUGAUUAAAAUAUAUGGAUAAUCUUCAGAUUUAUGAUGUAAUACCUAUUUGUAUUGCUUAUAGUACUUAUAAUGAUAUGAAAAAUAAA